CCCACACUUUAGGGCACUUAAGAGGCAGCUGUGGUUUGGCAGUAGAGCUGGUUGUCUGGGCAAGACUGUGUACCUCAACUGCUAAUAGCAUAGCAGUGUGUGGAUGAGCUGGCUACAUCACCAACAUCGCCACCAGCCAAUGGGCUUGCGGCUGCCAAACUGAAAGUCUACUCUCCUCUCUGUUUGCCUGUAGUCAUUUUAUUUCAAAACAUCCCUCCAAUACUUAAAUUCAAUAUAACAUCAGGGGUGUAUUGUACUAUUUUUGGCUGCACAAAACCCCCAAUAUAAUAAAACCCCAAGUCCAAAAAUGUU